CAAGGAAUAGUUUAAGUAAAAUUUCAACUUUGGGUGUUGAUG
rnacentral:tRNA from 1 species